rnacentral:lncRNA from 1 species
UGGAGAGUAAAUUGGUUCAACCACUUUGGAAAACUGGUUGCCAGCACCUACUGAAGAUGAACAUAAACAUAUAUGUGCUGUAUAUGACACAGCAAUUCCACUCCUAGGUAAAUGCCCAACAGAAAUGUAUAGUCACAUUUACCAAAAGGUAUAGAGUAGGAUAUUCAUAGCAGUACUAUCAUCAAUGUCCAAACCUGAAAACUACCCAAAUGCCCACCAAUGGUAUAAUGAACAGAGUAUAUUCAAACAAGAAUGGACACAGAAAGGGGAAACACACACACUGUGGCCUGUCAGGGAGUGCAGGGGGAGGGAGAGCAUCAAGAAGCAUAGCUAAUGGAUGCUGGGCUUAAUACCUAAGUGAUGGGUUGAUAAGUACAGCAAACCACCAUGGUACACAUUUACCUAUGUAACAAACCUGCAUGUCCU